GGCAGUGGGUCCUCCAAAGGUGGAUAUGCACAGGCCACGGCGUGAUCGUCGCGCGGACUGUAAAUCUGCCGGCUCAGCCUUCCCAGGUUCGAAUCCUGGCGCCGCCA
rnacentral:tRNA from 1 species